rnacentral:rRNA from 1 species
UACGUGGGACCCAAGCGUUAUCCGGAAUUACUGGGCGUAAAGAGUUGCGUAGGUGGCAGAGUAAGUUUCAAUAUAAAGAUCACGGCUCAACCGUGGGAACUAUUGGAAUACUGCUCAGCUUGAGGAUGAGAGAGGUCACUGGAAUUCCUAGUGUAGGAGUGAAAUCCGUAGAUAUUAGGAGGAACACCGAUGGCGUAGGCAGGUGACUGGCUCAUUUCUGACACUAAGGCACGAAAGCGUGGGGAGCGAACGGG